rnacentral:rRNA from 1 species
UACGUAGGGGGCAAGCGUUGUCCGGAAUUAUUGGGCGUAAAGAGCGCGUAGGCGGUCCGGUAAGUCAGCUGUGAAAGUCAAGGGCUCAACCCUUGAAAGCCGGUUGAUACUGUCGGGCUAGAGUCCGGAAGAGGCGAGUGGAAUUCUCGGUGUAGCGGUGAAAUGCGCAGAUAUCGGGAGGAACACCAAUGGCGAAGGCAGCUCGCUGGGACGGUACUGACGCUGAGGCGCGAAAGCGUGGGGAGCAAACAGG